GUCAUAUGCUUGUCUCAAAGAUUAAGCCAUGCAUGUCUCAGUACAAGCCAAAUUAAGGUGAAACCGCGAAAGGCUCAUUAAAUCAGUUAUGGUUCCUUAGAUCGUACCCACAAUUACUUGGAUAACUGUGGUAAUUCUAGAGCUAAUACAUGCAAACAGAGCUCCGACCGGAGACGGAAGGAGUGCUUUUAUUAGAUCAAAACCAAUCGGUGGCGGGUUCGCACUCGUCAUCGUACAACUUGGUGACUCUGAAUAACUUUACGCUGAUCGCAUGGUCAUCGCACCGGCGACGCAUCUUUCAAAUGUCUGCCUUAUCAACUGUCGAUGGUAGGUUCUGCGCCUACCAUGGUUGUAACGGGUAACGGGGAAUCAGGGUUCGAUUCCGGAGAGGGAGCCUGAGAAACGGCUACCACAUCCAAGGAAGGCAGCAGGCGCGCAAAUUACCCACUCCCGGCACGGGGAGGUAGUGACGAAAAAUAACGAUACGGGACUCAUCCGAGGCCCCGUAAUCGGAAUGAGUACACUCUAAACCCUUUAACGAGGAUCAAUUGGAGGGCAAGUCUGGUGCCAGCAGCCGCGG
rnacentral:rRNA from 1 species